rnacentral:rRNA from 1 species
UACGUAGGGUGCAAGCGUUGUCCGGAAUUAUUGGGCGUAAAGAGCUUGUAGGCGGUUUGUCGCGUCUGCUGUGAAAAUCCGGGGCUCAACCCCGGACUUGCAGUGGGUACGGGCAGACUAGAGUGUGGUAGGGGAGACUGGAAUUCCUGGUGUAGCGGUGGAAUGCGCAGAUAUCAGGAGGAACACCGAUGGCGAAGGCAGGUCUCUGGGCCACUACUGACGCUGAGGAGCGAAAGCGUGGGGAGCGAACAGG